GACGAUCAGUAGCUGGUCUGAGAGGAUGAUCAGCCACACUGGGACUGAGAUACGGCCCAGACUCCUACGGGAGGCAGCAGUGAGGAAUAUUGCGCAAUGGGCGAAAGCCUGACGCAGCAACGCCGCGUGUAGGAUGAAAUCUUUCGGGAUGUAAACUACUGUUAGAGGGGAAGAAAGUCUCGACUUGUCGAGACCUGACGGUACCCUCAGAGAAAGCCCCGGCUAACUCUGUGCCAGCAGCCGCGGUAAUACAGGGGGGGCAAGCGUUGUCCGGAAUUACUGGGUGUAAAGGGUCCGUAGGCGGGUCGGUAAGUCAGUGGUUAAAUCCUGCAGCUUAACUGUAGAUCAUCCAUUGAUACUGCCGAUCUUGAGUGCGAGAGAGAUGAGUGGAAUUCCAAGUGUAGCGGUGAAAUGCGUAGAGAUUUGGAAGAACACCAGUUGCGAAGGCGGCUCAUUGGCUCGUUACUGACGCUGAGGGACGAAAGCAUGGGGAGCAAACAGGAUUAGAUACCCUGGUAGUCCAUGCCCUAAACGAUGAGGACUAGGUGUUGGGUGUUAAAGCCCAGUGCCGCAGCUAACGCAUUAAGUCCUCCACCUGGGGAAUACGGCCGCAAGGUUGAAACUCAAAGGAAUUGACGGGGGCCCGCACAAGCAGUGGAGCAUGUGGUCUAAUUCGACGCAACGCGAAGAACCUUACCUGGGCUCGAAAUGCUAGUGCCAUCCCAUGAAAGUGGGCUUCUCGCAAGAGACGCUAGUAUAGGUGCUGCAUGGCUGUCGUCAGCUCGUGUCGUGAGAUGUUGGGUUAAGUCCCGCAACGAGCGCAACCCUUGCCUUUAGUUGCCAUCGGGUCAAGCCGGGCACUCUAAAGGGACCGCCGAUGAUAAAUCGGAGGAAGGUGGGGAUGACGUCAAGUCAUCAUGGCCCUUACGUCCAGGGCUACACACGUGCUACAAUGGUCGCCACAGAGGGCGAAGCCGCAAGGCGAAGACAAUCCCUAAAAAGCGACCUCAGUUCGGAUCGAAGGCUGCAACUCGCCUUCGUGAAGC
rnacentral:rRNA from 1 species